rnacentral:rRNA from 14 species
UAUUAAAGUUGUUGCAGUUAAAAAGCUCGUAGUUGAACCUUGGGCCUGGCUGGCCGGUCCGCCUCACCGCGUGUACUGGUCCGGCCGGGCCUUUCCUUCUGGGGAGCCGCAUGCCCUUCACUGGGCGUGUCGGGGAACCAGGACUUUUACUUUGAAAAAAUUAGAGUGUUCAAAGCAGGCCUUUGCUCGAAUACAUUAGCAUGGAAUAAUAGAAUAGGACGUGCGGUUCUAUUUUGUUGGUUUCUAGGGCCGAAGUAAUGAUUGAUAGGGAUCGUUGGGGGUGCUUGUAUUGAGCGGCCAGAGGUGAAAUUCUUGGAUUCGCUCAAGACAAACUAAUGCGAAAGCAUUCACCAAGGAGGUCUUCUUUAAUCAAGAACGAAAGUUGGGGGAUCGAAGACGAUCAGAUACC